GCCUUUCUGGUCUAGUUGGUUAUGACGUCGGUCUCGUGAGUUUGUUAAGUUGGUAAAACCUACAAUUCUAAUUAAUAAUAGAUAUGAUAUGACUUCGAGCAUCGAAGACAUCCGAAGGUGGCCGGAUCGAUCCCGGCGAAGGGCA